AUUUGGGUUAUGCAAAUAAAAUUGAAUUGAAUUGAAUUAUCAAUCUUUUAAAAAUCCAUAAUUUUUUUAAAUACACCAUUGCAGUUUAAGUUGAAGACAAUUUAUGGAAAAUAGGGUCGUAUGUGGUUUUCAAGGUUAUAUUGUCAUGGUGCCUCUGUCAGUCUCUCCUCCCCUCCCCACUCUGCUCUGCUUUCCUGAUUGGACCCAGCUGUGGACGCCCACCUCGUCAUCCACCUGCCUUCAUAAGGAGUUCCAGUCCCAGCAUUCAUUGCCAGUUCCUUGCCCCUUAUGGACAAAUCACCACGAGCUGUCCACCUGGGUCCUUUCCUGUUGGUGCAAUCGUAACCUCCAGCCACGCCACGACUCCAGCCAAACCAAGAAUCGCAAGCCACGCCAAGAUCUCAAGCUACGCCACAACUCCAAGCCAGAACUCCCGGUCGUCACCCCAUACUCAUCACGCAGUCGGACAAUCCUCAUAUCACUCACCCUCUGAACCACGUCCAGGAAAAUAAAUCCAUUUAAACUUCCAUCUAACUCUCUUGAAUGACUUCAACAGAGCAACAUUACACAAGCAGCUGAAUGUCCUUUGCUUUGAAAAAGAUCAUGUACCUCCUACCCCCUUGUUUUAUAGCACGUUAAAGAAUAUUAAUGUCAUCUAUACCUUCAAUUUUUCUCACUUUGGUUUUAUUAAAUAUUUGUUUUAUUUUUGGGGUUUCUCACUUCAUUAAAAUUAUUUUGACUGUGCCAUUUUACAACUUUUGGCUUCUUUAAAGCCAAAAGUUUUUUUUGAUUUAUUUUGUCACCUGAAGCUCUUCUGUAAUUGUAUUCUCUUUUCACAUCAGCACUUUCUCAGAUGGAUUUCUUACCAUGUUUGAGUUCAGUCAUCUACAUAUAAGAGUUUAUUUAAGGAACAUUGUUUCCUAAAUACAUACCAAAAAAGAUUCACACCAUUUCUAUGUUAUCACACAUUCACAGACAGAACAGCAAGAAGUAUAUGAAAAGCUGAAAUGAGGGAAAAAAUAAUAAUAAUGGAAAGACAUUGUAUAUUUUGAUGGAAAAUGACAAAUGAGAGUGAGAUCAAUGGGAUAUUGAAACAAAUCAGAAAUGUGGACAGUUCAUGGCUACUUUACCAUCAAAGUGGACAUGAACAGAAACCACCCAUCCACCCGUUUCUACUGUUGGGUGAAGGCGCGACACACCCUGGGCAAGUUGCCACUCUGUCGCAGGGCUGAGAAGAAACAGAGACUUACAAUAAUGGAUGUCAUUGUGGGAUUAUCAACAUCCCUUAAACAUUUUUCUCUCCCUUUUUUUGCAGCUGAAGCCCAGCUGCUUGGAGUUUGAAGGCAGCCCUCUGACGAGGCAGUGACCAGCGCUGACUGGGAAUGCUUCCAGCCUCAGAACAACCCUGGUCCAAGAAGGAGCUGCCAGACUUCGCAGGAAGCCUUUCACAGGCCGCCACAGCCAUUGAUCUACUUUCCAGUGAAUCCGUAGAUUUUUUACGGAGGCUACACCACUACACUGUGAGCGUUGUUCUUGCAGUAGGGCACCCUCCUGAGCGUAUUUCACAGGCUGUACACCAAACCCAGUAUCAAAGUCAGCAUCCAAUAACACUUGUUUAUGUGUGAAAGCAGCCUGAAGAACACCAAACACUUCCUCGGAUCUCAGCUGAAUCCUCGUCAUGUGGUCCAAAGUUUUUCAGCCUUUGUCUUGACAGUUCCUUGGCUCCUCUUCUCUUUUUAACCAGACUUUAUUCCGCCUGCAGUCAAGAGUCAUUAUAGCACUCAAGAAAUCACAACACAUCAAAAGAGUGUUAUUGAGUGAACUUAAAAUUUUAAUUAGCAAGACCAUAGAAAGACAGGUAGUUGUCUAAAGUUUCAAAAAAGUGGCAGGACUCUUUGGGGCUUCAAGAGAGGUCAUGUGAUCAAUGUCUUUCAAAAGACUGCAGAUUCAGUCCAGCCGUAAAAGCAAUCAAAGAAAAAAAAUCCAUGCAGGACUGGACCAUUGUGGUAAAGAACUCUCAAACAUUGAUGCAGUUUUACUUCAAAGUCUCAAGGGGUUGAGAGUUCUUCAAAGAAUGGGCCCGGUGUCCUUGUCCUGCACAACUCAGAGCCAACUUCUUUAGAAAAGGGCCCUCUGGGAUCAGAGUUCCUGCGUAACAUAACAGCUUUACCGAAGGAUCAUGUUGUGCGUUGAGCUGCUGCUGUCCAAUAAAUGUCAUGUAAUGAAGCAGUUAUUAGGUUGCUAGUUGUAGGUAAUGCAGUCAGCAGGGAGAGAGGGCUGCUUGUGGUGCUAAUAAAGCAGUCAUAUCCGCAGUCACUGACUAGUCUAAUUGACAGACUCAUGAGGGGAGAACUGCUAAUUGAUUACAGGCUUGUCCUGUUCCAACUCCCCAGGGGACUGCUGGGUAAUGGACUUCGAGGUCUUGUUCUUGAGUUUAUCUUGUUGAGAAGAUUUGGCUGAAUUUUCCUCAAACUGAGAACGGUCCCUGUUCCAUCUGAAGCCUAAAUAAAGCAGCUUUAAAGUCUUUUAGCCCUUGCAAAAACUAAUUGCUUCUCAGAUUGAAUCAAUCACUUAGUUUUGUGCUGCCUAACAUUUUUUUCAGCGAUUGUAACAUGAUAUAUCUUCAAAGCAGAAUUAACUUAAUUAAGCAGCAUAAUGUCCCUCAGUUGUUUACGACAAUGUUUGUUUAAAAGCUAAAAGUUGUUUAGGUCCCUGUUACUUAGAAAUUAACUUAAAAGAAAAUCACACAUUAGCAACAGAGUGUGAACAUGAAACCAAAGAUUAAGGCUUUACCCUCAAAGCCACAUUACAGUUCAUGUUUAUGGUUUCUGUUAUAUAUCUGUAAAUGCUCAUGAAUAUGAAUUUGCAUCGUGUGGGGAUGCAUUUGGGUAUGUUGGCCAUUAAGAUUGAAAUGGAACCAAAUCAGUGUUUACAUUUGAGAAUAAGUGUUGGAUGUUUUCAUGUGUGUAUGUUUCUACCAAUAUGUGUGUAUCUGAAACUGAUGAAUAUUUACUCAUUUGAGAGGGAACAUGAUUAUACAAGAUACUGGGUGCACUGAGUGUAACUAAUUGGGUCUAGGGCGGGAUGGUGAGAACUUUUAAGGCUUUUACUUCUUUUCACUUCCUUUUGGAUAUUUGUUUUACUGUUUGGAAAAUGUGCAUAGUUAAGUUUCUGACAUGCCACAAAGGUAAAGAAGGUAUUUACAGAAGCAAUAAACAGUUUUUUGCUUUUCUAUCCAUCAGUGGCUUAGACAUUGGGAUGCCUAAAACAUUCAGAGAGUACAUGACAUCAACUGAAGACAACAAGAUUAAACGGAUGCACCUACAUUUGCCUCCAAGCAGGCCAUGAUCAUCUAAUAGAGGAGACUAUUUUAGAGUUAAGCUCUACUUUGAUUUGUGUUUAGGUCCUGUUUCUGUUAAGCACAUUGUGUUUGUCUCCUCUAAUAUUGCUUUUUUGAAACCGUAUGAGGCAAUAAAGCAAGACAGCAAAGUGCCUGACCACA